rnacentral:rRNA from 1 species
AGUAGUUUGAUCAGUGGCUACAGGACGAACGCUGGCGGCGUGCUUAACACAUGCAAGUCGAGGGUAGCAAUACACUGGCGCAAGGGUGCGUAACGCGUAGAUUAUCUGCCCCAUACACUAACAUAACGCUUGGAAACGGGUGCUAAUAUUAGAUGAGGUGCUUCGGCAUCAAAGUUUCGACGGUAUGGGAUGAGUCUGCGUCUGAUUAGCUAGUUGGUAGUGUAAUGGACUACCAAGGCGACGAUCAGUAGCUGGUCUGAGAGGACGAUCAGCCACACUGGAACUGAGACACGGUCCAGACUCCUACGGGAGGCAGCAGUGAGGAAUUUUGCGCAAUGGACGAAAGUCUGACGCAGCGACGCCGCGUGUGGGAUGAAGGGGCUACGCCCUGUAAACCACUGUUAGAUGUGAAAAAAAGAUGGCUUUGCCGUCCGGGAUUGUAACAUCAAAGAAAGGACCGGCUAACUACGUG